AAAAAAUCUUUUCGAUAAGUAUGGUUGGAAUUUGUUGAUAACUCAUAGACUAGGUAAUAUACAUCAUUUGAGGAAUAUUGGACUGGUUUGAAGUCAAACUUCUUAGAUAAAAUCUAGUAGAAAAAUCUAUACGAAGCAUGUAUCUCGCAUAUAGAUAUACAUGGUACACGCACGCAAUACAUAGUAGAUACCUAUGGAUACACAAGUGAUACAUGAUAGAUAUACAGGGGAGUACAAAUCUCAUCUUCUUCCAUGUUCAUUUUCCACUACGAAUUUUCGAUUCAAACACCUUAAAUCUCUCUCAAAUCGUCCCGAAUUAGAGGUAACUCCUUAAGAUAUACCUAAUCUAUUCCAACAACACCCGCUCGAAAUAAAUUUCAAUUUCGAAAUCCAAAUUCCCAAACUCAAGUCAAGCGAGCGUCAAUCACUCCUAAUGGAUAAUUUAGCUCUUCUUUUUCACUUUUCGAGUUACAAGAAAAUCUCAAGGUUCCUUAAUUCAUAAAUACAACUGAUUCGGCGCAAAAGGGAGAAAUAGAGUGGCCUCCUAGAGCGCAUUGAAGCCAAUUAUCUGAUGUAAAUUAUGCACACACCAAAAAAAAAAAAAAAAAAACAGCCCCUUCGAGCUCGUUGGAGCCAAUAAGAAAGGAGUAACGAAACAAUUUUAAGUGAAUUAAUUUUAUGCAAGGUAAUAAUUGUAUAUUAAGUUAGAUUAGGAAAGAUGCUUGAGGGAUGAUGUAAAUAUGAAAGAAGAAUAUUCUAAUUAGAGGAAGGCUGUAGCCAUUGAUCAGCAUCAAAGAAAGAUGAUUUGAGGAAAGGAAGAGUUUGGGUGCCAUUAAGCGUAUGGUGGCCCCUCUGAAAGCCACGAAGCAGACAAGGUUGGAAAUUGGAGUCAAAACGUAAACUUGAUUAUUGGAUUGGACUCAAGUUCAUGAAUACCCCGUUGAUCAAAUUAAUUUGAGAUUUGACCAUGUUGACCGAAGAUUGAAAUCGUUCGAUGUCGUUUGAUUGGAGUUUUGGACCAUGCCAAGUUGGGAAAGUUCGUAUCAUGUUUUAAGUGAGAACGAUAUUGUCCCCCAAAGGGCCAGAUGAGGCACCACCAGAGCAGACUAUGCUAGGGCACCUGGUAGGCCGAGAACUCAGGCCGGUACGUAGACUGCUCAGCCUAGAAACAUAGCUGCUAGGGCUACUGGAGGUGGAGGCUGGGAAAAGAGCCACAGCAAUUCUCCGUACUAAAUCCUACAAAACAACCAUGAACCAUGUUCAGGAAAAUGACCAAGAAAGACACAAAAGAACAAUAGACAAAAAUGAGGGUUAUUUCUCAGAUGAUCAUUCAACUAAUAAUUAUUAUCUCAGAAGUCGAUCACUUUUCUUCUUGAUUUCAAUUUUCUUAAACAAAAAAAGUGACUUUCAUAAAUAAUAACAAUUGGUUGAGUGACCUUCUGAAUAAUCAUCAGUUCCCAAAAUGAGA